UACGUAGGGUGCAAGCGUUUAAUCGGAAUUACUGGGCGUAAAGCGUGCGCAGGCGGUUUUGUAAGUCUGUCGUGAAAUCCCCGGGCUCAACCUGGGAAUUGCGAUGGAGACUGCAAGGCUAGAAUCUGGCAGAGGGGGGUAGAAUUCCACGUGUAGCAGUGAAAUGCGUAGAGAUGUGGAGGAACACCGAUGGCGAAGGCAGCCCCCUGGGUCAAGAUUGACGCUCAUGCACGAAAGGCGUGGGGAGCAAACG
rnacentral:rRNA from 1 species